AUUGAACGCUGACGGCAUGCUUUACACAUGCAAGUCGAACGGCAGCGCGGGGCAACCUGGCGGCGAGUGGCGAACGGGUGAGUAAUAUAUCGGAACGUACCCAAGAGUGGGGGAUAACGUAGCGAAAGUUACGCUAAUACCGCAUACGAUCUAAGGAUGAAAGCGGGGGAUCGCAAGACCUCGUGCUCCUGGAGCGGCCGAUAUCUGAUUAGCUAGUUGGUGAGGUAAAGGCUCACCAAGGCGACGAUCAGUAGCUGGUCUGAGAGGACGACCAGCCACACUGGAACUGAGACACGGUCCAGACUCCUACGGGAGGCAGCAGUGGGGAAUUUUGGACAAUGGGCGCAAGCCUGAUCCAGCAAUGCCGCGUGAGUGAAGAAGGCCUUCGGGUUGUAAAGCUCUUUUGUCAGGGAAGAAACGGUAGGAGCUAAUAUCUCUUGCUAAUGACGGUACCUGAAGAAUAAGCACCGGCUAACUACGUGCCAGCAGCCGCGGUAAUACGUAGGGUGCAAGCGUUAAUCGGAAUUACUGGGCGUAAAGCGUGCGCAGGCGGUUUUGUAAGUCUGUCGUGAAAGCCCCGGGCUCAACCUGGGAAUUGCGAUGGAGACUGCAAGGCUUGAAUCUGGCAGAGGGGGGUAGAAUUCCACGUGUAGCAGUGAAAUGCGUAGAGAUGUGGAGGAACACCGAUGGCGAAGGCAGCCCCCUGGGUCAAGAUUGACGCUCAUGCACGAAAGCGUGGGGAGCAAACAGGAUUAGAUACCCUGGUAGUCCACGCCCUAAACGAUGUCUACUAGUUGUCGGGUUUUAAUUAACUUGGUAACGCAGCUAACGCGUGAAGUAGACCGCCUGGGGAGUACGGUCGCAAGAUUAAAACUCAAAGGAAUUGACGGGGACCCGCACAAGCGGUGGAUGAUGUGGAUUAAUUCGAUGCAACGCGAAAAACCUUACCUACCCUUGACAUGUACGGAACCUCCGAGAGAUUGGAGGGUGCUCGAAAGAGAGCCGUAACACAGGUGCUGCAUGGCUGUCGUCAGCUCGUGUCGUGAGAUGUUGGGUUAAGUCCCGCAACGAGCGCAACCCUUGUCAUUAGUUGCUACAUUUGGUUGGGCACUCUAAUGAGACUGCCGGUGACAAACCGGAGGAAGGUGGGGAUGACGUCAAGUCCUCAUGGCCCUUAUGGGUAGGGCUUCACACGUCAUACAAUGGUACAUACAGAGGGCCGCCAACCCGCGAGGGGGAGCUAAUCCCAGAAAGUGUAUCGUAGUCCGGAUCGCAGUCUGCAACUCGACUGCGUGAAGUUGGAAUCGCUAGUAAUCGCGGAUCAGCAUGUCGCGGUGAAUACGUUCCCGGGUCU
rnacentral:rRNA from 1 species